CAUUGAAUGGCUGAAAAGAAAGCGCUGGUCUCUUAAACCACCCCAUAGUACACGAAUACUUUCAAUGA
rnacentral:tRNA from 1 species